CAAGAGCAAUCGACAGGUUAGCAAGAUUGAACUUUGGGAUGAAGCUCAUAAGCAGAAGGAUGGUAAAUACAAAAAUGCAAAAACGAAGAUAGUGAUGGAGAAACUGGAAGAAAGAAAGAAUGAUAACAAUGGGCGGCUUUCAUUCAGUGAUUAUGGAGAAAUGUUUAAAAGUGUGCAUGGGGAAGACGCAAAAAUGCUUCGAGGGUAUUAUGGUGAUAAGUAUUGGAGCGAAAUAAAAGUUUCUCAGGGACUGACUUUUGUUCAGCAUUGUGAGAAUGAAGGCAAUGUUCAUCUUUCAUUGCGGGCACUAGGAGAUAAUGUACAAAAUGUGACAGAUGAGUUGGCUAUGGUGCGUUAGUUCCUGAAGCGAAAAUUUCCUGGAGAAGAUUUCAGAAAUGAAUUUGUAACCAUGGGAAGUGAUGAAGUUGAUCUCGACGAAAGAGUUGUUGGCAGCGACCUCCCAAAUGAAUCACAUAACGAAAUUGUAGUACAUGCUCGAUUGAGUGCUAUGCAGGUGAUGUAAUACUUUCUUCACUAAUAAAUAUUCUAGUUUAUUCUCAGACUUCAAAAUUAA